GUCGAUGGCCAUGCCACCUUGAACAAGCUCGAUCCCCUUGAACAAGCCCGAUCCCAUUUGAUCUCAGAAGCUAAGCAGGGUUGGGCCUGGUUAGUACUUGGAUGGGAGACCACGUAGGAAGACCAGGCGCUGUAGGAG
ensembl:rRNA 5S_rRNA 5S ribosomal RNA